CGGAGGUUAUUUUGAAACUUAGUGAUAGAUAACCUUAGUGGCGGACGGGUGAGUAACGCGUGGAUAACCUGCCUACAUGCCUGGGACAACACCGGGAAACUGGUGCUAAUACCGGAUACGCUCUUGUAUGCACAUGCAUAUAAGAGGAAAGGAGCAAUCCGCAUAU
rnacentral:rRNA from 1 species